GUGAAUCAUCGAAUCUUUGAACGCAAAUUGCACUCUCUGGUAUGCCGGAGAGUAUGCCUGUUUGAGGGUCAGGGUAAAUAAAGAUCGGUGUGGUUUCUGCCUUUCGUGGUGACGGACCGUUUGUGUGUCGUCUUGCCUUGGGUUAAGUGGCGUAAAAUUGUGCUUUUUUUGUUCUGAUGUAUUUAACUGAUUUUUUGUGCUUUUUC
rnacentral:misc_RNA from 1 species